rnacentral:rRNA from 1 species
CGCGGCCUAUCAGCUUGUUGGUGAGGUAACGGCUCACCAAGGCAUCGACGGGUAGCUGGUCUGAGAGGAUGAUCAGCCACACUGGGACUGAGACACGGCCCAGACUCCUACGGGAGGCAGCAGUAGGGAAUCUUGCGCAAUGGGCGAAAGCCUGACGCAGCAACGCCGCGUGGGGGAUGAAUGCCUUCGGGUUGUAAACCCCUUUCAGCAGGGACGAAAUUGACGGUACCUGCAGAAGAAGGUCCGGCCAACUACGUGCCAGCAGCCGCGGUAAUACGUAGGGACCAAGCGUUGUCCGGAAUUAUUGGGCGUAAAGAGCUCGUAGGCGGUUCAGUAAGUCGGGUGUGAAAACUCAAGGCUCAACCUUGAGACGCCACUCGAUACUGCUGUGACUUGAGUCCGGUAGAGGAGUGUGGAAUUCCUGGUGUAGCGGUGAAAUGCGCAGAUAUCAGGAGGAACACCAGCGGCGAAGGCGGCACUCUGGGCCGGUACUGACGCUGAGGAGCGAAAGCAUGGGGAGCAAACAGGAUUAGAUACCCUGGUAGUCCACGCCGUAAACGGUGGGCGCU